rnacentral:rRNA from 1 species
AUAAUGGGUCAGCGACUUAUAUUCUGUAGCAAGGUUAACCGAAUAGGGGAGCCGAAGGGAAACCGAGUCUUAACUGGGCGUUAAGUUGCAGGGUAUAGACCCGAAACCCGGUGAUCUAGCCAUGGGCAGGUUGAAGGUUGGGUAACACUAACUGGAGGACCGAACCGACUAAUGUUGAAAAAUUAGCGGAUGACUUGUGGCUGGGGGUGAAAGGCCAAUCAAACCGGGAGAUAGCUGGUUCUCCCCGAAAGCUAUUUAGGUAGCGCCUCGUGAAUUCAUCUCCGGGGGUAGAGCACUGUUUCGGCAAGGGGGUCAUCCCGACUUACCAACCCGAUGCAAACUGCGAAUACCGGAGAAUGUUAUCACGGGAGACACACGGCGGGUGCUAACGUCCGUCGUGAAGAGGGAAACAACCCAGACCGCCAGCUAAGGUCCCAAAGUCAUGGUUAAGUGGGAAACGAUGUGGGAAGGCCCAGACAGCCAGGAUGUUGGCUUAGAAGCAGCCAUCAUUUAAAGAAAGCGUAAUAGCUCACUGGUCGAGUCGGCCUGCGCGGAAGAUGUAACGGGGCUAAACCAUGCACCGAAGCUGCGGCAGCGACGCUUAUGCGUUGUUGGGUAGGG